rnacentral:rRNA from 1 species
UACGGGGGGGGGUAAGCGUUGUUCGGAAUUACUGGGCGUAAAGGGCUCGUAGGCGGCCAACUAAGUCAUACGUGAAAUCCCUCAGCUUAACUGGGGAACUGCGUGUGAUACUGGAUGGCUUGAAUCCGGGAGAGGGAUGUGGAAUUCCAGGUGUAGCGGUGAAAUGCGUAGAUAUCUGGAGGAACACCGGUGGCGAAGGCGGCAUCCUGGACCGGUAUUGACGCUGAGGCGCGAAAGCUAGGGGAGCAAACGGG